UAGUUUGAUAAUCAUUUUUAGGGGCAA
rnacentral:piRNA from 1 species